UAAAGCGGACGCAAAGACACAAGGGUUUAUACUAGUUCGGCCCCUUCGAUGAAGGUAAAAGCCUACGUCUAGUUGUGAUGGGAUUGAUGUGGUUUCGAUGACUAGGGAGCAAUAGCUUCGCCUAGGCCUCGAGUUAUUGUCGUCUCUCCUGAACCGCCGCCGGGUCGUCCCCUUAUAUACACGGGUGACGCCCGUUGGUUCAUAGAGUCCCAAUACCGGUUCAUACUUGUAUCCGGGUUGGUUUCUCUCUACUUCUACCUUACAAUACAAGUUUAUGUAAUUAUGGCGGUUUGCCAUUGCGGCCCUAAUCCUCCUUUGGGCCGUGGGCCCCAAGCUAGUGGAACACCCUCUUCAAGACCUUCCUGGACUUCAGCAUAGCCUAAGGUGAACCGGACCCUCCUGGCUGGUUUAUACUUAGCAGCUAUAUCCUCCACAUUAGGCCCCGGAUUGAUUUGAAUUUAUUCAUGUCAAUCUUCAACACUUCACAGAUAUCUUGUAAACAUCCUCUCGUAUUUUCAUAAACCGCCAUAUUGUCUUCUCUUGAGAAUUUUGUGAACCGCCGUGAUGUCAUCCUCCGAAUCCUGUAUCGGGCAGUCAUGACGUCAUCUCUGUAUAAAAAAUUAAAAGAUUCCCUUCUCUUUAAUGGCUAUCGCGAAAACCGAGGCGACAGGCGCGCCCACUCGGCCGCUUCCGUUGCCUUGAUUCUCGCGCCUGUCAUUUAUUUGCUUCCUUAUAAAUAAAGCCCGAGGGCUCCCUUUUCUCUUCCUCUUCCGCAUCUUCUUCUUCCUCACGACGCCCCCGCUCUGAAGCUCCGCCGCCGUCCGCGACCUUCAAGAUCUGCACUAACCGAGGCCGCUGCAUCAACCAGAGUUGGAUCAGAGGCUCAUUGCCCCCUUCCGCCGUACUCUGCAGCGGUAAGUUCCUACUGCUCUUCGUUUUUAGAUCUGCAUUAGAUUUUGCGAGUUCAUCCGCAUAACUCUUCAUUUUUCUUCUUUAUCCUACCUUCUGCCGCAGUAGUUUUGAUCCAAAAAAUAGUAUAGAUUUCCUACGGUAGUCAUUUCGCAUCUGCUUUUAAUACUAGUAAUCUUUUCAUUUUCCUCUUGUGGAGAGUGCAUCCUUCUCUGCUCUGCUUGAACGCUUUUUCAAGAACGCAGUAAAAACUGCUUUAUAGAUAUGCGGUAGAUCCAGAUAGAUUUGAACAUUGUGUGAAACCUGUUUCUGUACACUUAGCAAAAAAUCUUGGCCUUUCUGCCAAUGGGUGGUUUAAUCCUUUAUGGUCAAUCCGCCAUAUGCCAUUAGCCCUCUCUUAAACCGAUUAUACCUUACAUUGCAUUUUCACCGGUUUAACAUUGAAUUUUCCACUUACAAACCGUAGACCAUGAACCGGCACCUGUUUCAGCUCUCCCCUUCCAGAAUGGCGAAACAAUUUACUGCUUGCAAUUGGGCUCCGUCCCGGAUCACAGAGACACAACUCAAUGGCUACAUCACCACUGGCGUUUUAGCUUCAAAAAAUACCCUCCACUGGCGAGUUCCGGGACCGGAAUGUCCUCCUGAGCCCUAAGAAGGAGAGGUGAUUAUUUUUAUGCAACACUUAGACCGGGGAUUCAGCCCGCCCGGAUCAAAAAAAUUUCGGGAUGUCCUGUCAAGCUUCCAGCUCCAUCCACAAGAUAUUGGUCUGAACUCCGUGUCCAAUAUAUGCAACUUCCAAGUAUUCUGUGAAGUGUAUCUCCAAGAAGAACCAACCGUAGAGUUGUUUCGAGAUUUCUUUCAUUUGAACCGCCAUACAAAAUUCUCAGAUGGUCCUAACACAGAACUUGGCGGAGUUGCAAUCCAAAAAAGGAAAGAAGUGGAUUUUCCUCAUGCCGCGCAUCAUAGCCAUCCUAAAGAUUGGAAUCUGACCUGGUUCUAUUGCCGGAACAUUGCACCUGAUGGGGAAAAUCCCUUGCCGGGUUACCACCCGCACCGGCUUAGCAACAGCCAUCCAUUGCCUUCGCGCUUGUCCGCCGUAGAACGGAAAAAUUUUGCUCCUCAAAUUACCAAGCUCCGGGCUCUGAUGGACAACGGUUUAACUGGCAUCGACCUUGUCCGCUGCUGGGUUUCUUGGGGCAUUUUACCAUUAAGCCGCCGCCCCGGAUUGAUGCACGAAUACACUGGCGACGUCAAAGAUCCUCAGCGACAUCAUGAGCUACCAAUAACUGAACUUGAAGUUACCGAAACAGUAAAGAAACUGCUCGAUGAAUCGAUCUCUGUGUGCAGCCAAACCGGGUUGGCUCCAUUCUGUGUUUCCAACAAACCGCCCGCGGUAAGAUUCCUGCCAUUAUUCUAUCGUUUCAACUCCAUAUUAAUUGUAUUGAUCCCUUUGUGUUAACUGUCAGGCUAACAGCUCAUUUUGGAAACGAACUAAACCGGCCCGGGUUCCUCGUGCCAAAACCAAGACUACCAAGAAAACCGGCAAGAGGAAAACCACCGAGUCUUCUGAACCGCCAGAAGACGAAUCAGAUGCUGAGAUAGAAUUUGACUUGCUUGUUUUUAUCUUUCCAUUCAUCUUAUUGACAAUUACAAUUCCCAGGAUGAUGCUGAGGCUAGCCAGGCAGAACCUGUUGAGACACAGCAAACUGAAGAACACCGUACAACCCGGCAUAGCGGUCAACAGAUUACAUCGUCCGGUUUAGCUGACACGCCAACCCGGAAACGUCAUCCAGAGGCUUCUUCCAACUCGUCUGGCGGUUCAUCAACCACUCAGCUGCCUCCUCUCAAAGUUGCGGCUGGCACCAAGGCUCGACUUAGUAAGAAGGCCAAGAUUGUUGACCCUACUGUGAAUGUUGAUCCGGAGCAAACCCCAGAGCAUCAUGGUGAAAAAUCCCGAAGUAGCUGAAGAUGAUACUGCUGAGAAGAAUGAAGAUGCCAAUGCUAAUCCGCCAGUGGUUGAACCGGAUAUCCAAAUUGAUACUUCACAUCCUCCUGCUCCUCCGAGUCCCACAGCAGAACAACGAGGCUCAACUGCUGAUCCGCCAAGCCCGGGUAUGAAAGCACCGAGCCCUGUUAAGAAUGCUACUUUGGCCAGUCCAGCCCAAGAUGAUGAUGUUGUAGUUACGGGCACCGUGUAUAACGCCCCUGGUAAUCCGGUGGCUCUAACAAAACAUACUGCCAAGGAAGACUUCACUGCUAUUAACAAAGGGAAGGAAAAGACCGAUCUAUCAGCUUAGAUCUGUCUACCCAAGAACUUCAUUCCGGUUUCCUGAACCGGCUGUACACAAGCCGUGAUUAUGAAGCCAGCUUAGUAAAUCUGAUGAAGGAACGCUUUGAGGUAAAUAUUUGUGCCCUUCUCUUGUACUUCAUGCGUAGUAGCCCCCAAGGGCCGGUUUGUCCGUAGAAAAGGUAAUCCAGGACUUUUAAAGCUCCUUGUUCGUAUAUAACAAACUCCUUGUGUACUCUUGAUCAAACACACAUUAGCCCCCAAGUGCCAUGAUUAAAACUUGUAUUAAUCCUUGGGACUUGUAUUAGCAGUAUAAAAAGUGAUCCGCAUUAGCCCCCAAGUGCCAAGUGUUUAACUGGUUGGACGCUUGGGACUUGAAUAAAUAUAUUGAUUUGCUCUUUGUAAUAUUGCAGAAGGCAAUAAGCCAACAAGCGUCACAAAUCGUUGAUCUUCAAGAGAAUUUGAAAUCACAACAGAAAGAAACUUCCAAAGCCAAAGAUGAAUUGAAGACCGCCUUAACCACCAUGGAACAGCUUAAAGAAUGGUUUAAAUCUGAGCGAACCAGCUGGGAUACUGAAAAAACAGAUUUACUCAAACGUGUUGAGGAUGCCGAAGCAGCUCUUAAACCGGUGAUGGAAGAGCUUACUGGAUUAGCGCCAAAUCAACUCCAUGACUUCAGCUGUAUUUGGCAGGCGCAUUGCUCAUCUGGGCUCUGACCUGCGGAAGAAACUCAAGGCUGCGUAUACACUGAUUGAACAGUUGUACACCGGCACACAGCGGGUUAUUUGCGCCACUUCUUACGACAAUGCGGCUCCAACAUUGAUCAAGGACACGCUGGACCGGUUGUCUAUGACGCCAGCACAGAUAGAAGAAAUGAAGCGAUCUGCUGCCCGGGCUGGCGCAUUAUUGGCCCUAACUCGCGCCGAAGCAUGGAUAGUUGACCUUGAUCCGGCUGAUAUAGCCAAAGGCUUCCCCAGUGCUCAACAUAAUGGUGAAGUAUUUGAUAAUGAUGCUCUCAAACGGGUAACAAGGAAGAUGCGUCCUCUAGCGAGCCAAUUGGCAGAAGAAGCCAACCUGGAGGUUCACCGCUCCUUUUAUGAUGCAAACAACAGACGGGUUGAAGCUGUCAUUCCUGAAGUGCAGAACCUAAUUCCCCCAACUCGUAAGCACACAUACGCUCCUGACGUUGAUCCGGCUGAGCUUAUAAGUGAAGAGGCUGUCUUUCAGGCUUUAACCCGGAUUGAUUGGACCACCAAUGACUUCCGGCCAUUGGAUGAUGAGGAGGAGGCUGAACCGACGCCAGACGACCCAUCUACUUCACGUCAACCUGGCGAUGAAGCUUAAACCGCCAGAUCGGUUUAUACAUCAGAAACUCUGUUAUGAAACAAUUCCAAAUUCUUGGGUCUUUGGCUUGUAAUAAACGUAUCUGCUACCCCUGGUGUUGGUAUGCCUUCGUGCAUACUUUCUGCAAAUUAUGCUUUCCUUUGAAUUGUCAAUGAUAUUGUCAUCUGCAAAGAAAAUCUUAAAGCGUCGUUGCGGUUGUACCAUCGAUGGGUUAUAAUAUUAAGGAAGUCAAGAAAAUUUUCUUAAACUGAACAUGUAAUUAAAUACAACAAUAUGUUGAUACCUGCCACCAUAAGGCAUAGCAAUUGGUCAUGCCAAUCUUAA